CUCGUCUCAUCACUUUCACACCACUCAUACUCUCUCUCCUCUCUCUCUCUAAAUGCACUUUCUCUCUCUAAAUUCGUUCUGUGGUCGCCGUCGGUACUGUUUGAUUUGUCCAGAUAAAGUCAGUGUGACAUCUGUAUGGCCUGCAUGAGAGAGAGAGAGACAGAGAGAGAGAGAGAGAGAAGAGAGGUAGUGGACAGGAAUAGAUACAGAUUGUGUGUGUUUUCUUGAACUUUUGGUUUCUGGGUUUGCUUUUUCUGUGAUCUGACCAAACCCUAAAAAGGUUGUGGUCACUGUGGAGAUGGUAGAUUUGGAACAUGUUUGUUGAGUUUUGAUAUCUUUCCUUAAAUGGGUGUCUCUGUGAGCUAUCAGAUCUGACUUUUUAUGGGUUAUGCAGUUUGUUUGUGGGUUUGUUUGUUUGUUACUAUUUCUUGGAAAAAAAUACAUUAAAGUUUUUUCUAUUUUCCUUUGAUUUUCGCUUUCAUAAUUUUUUUUUCUGGAUCACCAAGAAAUGACAGAAGAGAGUGAGCACAUAUGGGGGAAAUUGGUAUGUUCAUAUCAUUACUCUUAUGUGCUCACUUCUCUUUCUGUCAUUUUCCAGUGCCAGAACUUGAUGCCCUCUCGGCCCAAACUAUCCCACUUUCUCUCUCUAAAUCUUCUUAUUUUCUCUCUCUACAACUCCUUUUUCUGGUUUGUGGGUCUGUGGUAGUUGAGAGAAACACCUGAGGAGAGAAACCAUCAGUAGCUAGAAAAAAUGAAGUAAAAGAUGAGAGGGCUCUAGUGUCUAUUUGCUUUGGCUUUUGCUUGUUUGAAUUUAAUUAUUUAAAUACAUAUUUAAUUAUAUUUAGUAGCGUUAAUAGCCUGAAAGCGUGACUUUUGAUAGUUUUUCUUUGAGAAGCUAACCCUAAUUACUGUGCUAAUUUAACGGAAAACUGUAUUAUUAUGGGACCAUUACACAGCACGUUAGAGAUGGAAAUAUAGGAUGGUCCUCCACACAAUACCUCUCUAUAUGUCUCUUUCUCUCUGUGAUUCUUGCUGUUAUCAUCUAUUGAUUCUUUUUUUUAUUCUUGCGCAUGCUUUGUGUACUUCAGAUUUUUGUUUCGAUUCGACUUUGUUCUUCUCCUGAAUCUAGCCACAAUCUGGUAGGUUGUACUCUCAUCGCACAUGGGUGAUAGAUAUAGUACUUCUCGUGAUUUUGUUUAUCACCUGAAUCUCUAGUCCAAAUCUUGUUGUUUUGUGAUCUUAGUGCAAAUGGGUUUUCGCCUGUUGUGUGAGUUUGUUUUGUUUUGCGUUUUUUAUCUGAAUCGUUUGUUUAACUGGCAUGUGGGUUUGUUUUUAUUCUCAAUCUAAGACUCAAUUCUGUUUCUUAGAUGCCUGGAUCUUAUGAAUCUUACAUAAAAUUUGAAGUUGAUUUCUGAGAGUGAAUAUGUUUGAUCUUGAUGCACUUUGUUUCUUGUUUUGAUGUGAUGAUGAGGGUUUAGUGUCUUUUUCGUAUUAGGUCAUGAUAUUUUGGUAGAAAUGGAAGUUCUUCUCUUUUUUCAUUGUUUUUGUUUUUGUUUCUGUUUUCUCUCCUGCUCCUUCGAGUGUUUUGCAGAUCAGCCUGGGUGGGCGGAGGACAAUUUUAUAGAAGAAGAUAAAACAGGUUUUUUGAGUCUAUUUUUGGGAUUUUUGGAUCUAUAUUCUAUCAUUGUAAUGGAACAAAUAUUUCAUUCACUCGACAUUCAACAACUUUUCUUACAUAAAAAUUCGCUUAUAUCAUUUAGAUCAUAUUAGAUAAUGACCUAAUCUUGCUUUAAUUAUCAAAUUGAGAUGAUUACCCUCAAGACAGAUUUUUACAGUUUACUUCUUUGGUCACUUUAAGCUUAGUUUAUGAUUGAAGAUCAGCUGGAUAAGUCUGACCAAAUAAGGGACAUAUGGUCCAAGCCGAAUGAAGAAAUGAAAAUAUACUCUGAUCAAGCUUGAUGGUGCAUUCAAUGGUUCUUUCUCCUUUUUGAAGGUUGAUUUUUGUGUCUUCGCAUGCGACGAAGCACGAAAUAGCUGUACUUCAUGGAGCAUACAGAUAGAAACCUUUGAUUUGCAAAGAAAAUCUUUAUUGAUGAAGAAAACAUACCAGUGUUGUUAGAAGUGCGCCUAGGCACAAGGUGCAUCGAGGCUCAACCUGUGCGCCUGAACUGGUCACAGGCAAGGCGCGUUGAAGAAGUCGUGCGCCUUAGGUGCAACUGGAAGCAGGCGAGAGAGGCGCAAGGCUCACGCCAAGGCGCGACUGAUGUUUACGCCCUACUCUUUGAUCUAACGAUCGUCUUUUCGUCUCUCGAUUUCGAUUCGACUUCGUGUCGUCUCUUCGUCUCUUGACUUCGAUUCGACUUCGACUUGGACUGGGGGGCUACGACUUCGACUUCGACUUCCAGUAUUUCGGAAAUUCAACAGCUUUGGCAAUAGAUGAACACAGACAUCAUCCAAUGCAGCAAAAGAAACCUUUAUUGAUGAUCAGACCAUACCAGAUGAGAUUACAUCAAAAAAGGAGAGGAAGGGGUUUGGAGAGGAACCAAACCCAAACAGGAAAAGAAAAAACAAAGUAGAGAAUAAGCAGAACAAAGCAGAAUAGACAAAAUGCAAACAAGGACCUGCACACAGCUCCUCACACACCAUCAGAACACUUCCAGGGGCAGUAGCAAGAGAUUCAGCAGACCAUAACAACAGCCCAGAACAACAUAUGAAUAGGCCUCAGAAAAUACAAGCAGAACCCAAUAAGAGUCACUUUUUCAAUUUUAUUUUAAUAGAUGGGAUUUGAACCCAGGUAUUUUUCAUGGUAAGCCAAUUCUUAGCUUGCCCGAGAGACUAGUUGUUUUUUUUUUUUUUGAUCGGCAAAUAAAUCUUUAUUGAUGACACAUACAAAGUAUGAUUGGAUACAUCAAUAAAGAGGAGCUUAGAGCUAACACGAAGCUCUAAGCGCCAGUUGGUGAGGAACCAACACAAGAAAACAAAAGGUGCUACUUUAAAGACAAAAAAUGCUGCCACCAAAAGCCAGGUAGGGUCCUAAUAGGCUUUCAACCCCUUACCAAUCUACCCAUGUGCAUGCAACCCAUUGACCCUUCCACGAUGACAUUCGUCCCAAUGAAACACCCAGCAAGAAACUUGAAAGAAGACUCCAACUUCAGACAGAAAUACCCAGCAUUACUCAGCUAAGCAGUCCAGCAAUGAGCUACCUAGCAGCAGACAGGUAUGGCACAUUCUCUCACAGCAGCAGACAGAUACAGCAGCAGACUACCACUCACCAGACUACCACUCCACUGCUGGACCCAAGAGACAGCAUCACAGCCACAUCUGAUAGCACCACAUAUCAGCCCCGCAAUCAACAACCCCAAUUGAAACAAUUAAAUCCACACAGCCCAGUAAGAACAACUUCAUCAAGCUCCUUUGUACAGCCUUCCACAUCAGACCAGAGACCUUCCACUUUACCCCUACACACCUGUUCAGUGCAAUUUCUCAGCCCAAAAACUGAGCAUCACACUGCCUCACAUCAGCCAACCCUAUGUAUUAUUUUGCCCGAGAGACUAGUUACUAGUGUUUAUAUACUAAAUAAUGCUUCUUUUCGUUAGUUUUGUUAUGUGUGCUUAAUAAUGCAUCUUUUCAUUUAUUUUGUUAGUUUUCAGGUUGUAGAAUUAUGGUGUAAAAGCUUUACUAGUACUGUGACAACACAAAAAUGCAAAACAAAAUGUUUGCUUGAUUGGGUUGUGGAACAUCAAAUAAAUUAUUCACAGUUUCAAAAGUAAGGACAAAAAUUUAAUAUGGUUCACACAAUGGUAUAGUAGAGCCACAAACAUUCCUGAUUGAAGACAAUAAACAAGUUUUGCCAACAAUGAUAGAGAAAGUUGAUAAUAACAUACACCAAGCAUCAAACUCAAAACACGGAAGUGAGUACAAUAACAUAACAUAAAAUCUCAUAUCACUGUAUCUCUUAGAGUUCUUGUUUUUUGAUUUGUAUACAUGUUAAUUAUGGUCUAAACAGAUUUUUCUUAUUUUUGAAGUAAUAUUCUAGAUAGAUGAACUAUAGCAAUUACUUAUUCAAUUGAUUUAGAUCUAAAAAAUUGAAGAUUGUUUGAGGUGUGUGGCACCUAACAUUAGGAGAUAAUUCGGUGAACCUCCAAAUUAGGUUAUGAGAUUCUUGUUCUUCUCGUUUACAAGA